rnacentral:rRNA from 1 species
GAUGAACGCUAGCGGCAGGCUUAAUACAUGCAAGUCGAGGGGCAGCAUGAUUGUAGCAAUACAAUUGAUGGCGACCGGCAAACGGGUGCGGAACACGUACACAACCUUCCAACAAGUGGGGGAUAGCCCAGAGAAAUUUGGAUUAAUACCCCGUAACAUAGCGAUGUGGCAUCACAUUGCUAUUAUAGAUUUUUCGCUUGUUGAUGGGUGUGCGGCUGAUUAGAUAGUUGGCGGGGUAACGGCCCACCAAGUCUACGAUCAGUAGCUGAUGUGAGAGCAUGAUCAGCCACACGGGCAAUGAGACACGGGCCCGACUCCUACGGGAGGCAGCAGUAAGGAAUAUUGGACAAUGGACGCAAGUCUGAUCCAGCCAUGCCGCGUGAAGGAUUAAGGUCCUCUGGAUUGUAAACUUCUUUUAUAAGGGACGAAAAAAGGCUUUUCUAAGUCGUCUGACGGUACCUUAUGAAUAAGCACCGGCUAACUCCGUGCCAGCCGCCGCAGUAAAAC